AACGGGUGGAGCUUGCGGUUUUAAUUGGAUUCAACGCCGAAAUCUUACCGGGACCGACAGCAAUAUGAAGGCCAGGCUGAAGACUUUGCCGGAUUAGCUGAGAGGUGGUGCAUGGCCGUCGUCAGUUCGUACUGUGAAGCAUCCUGUUAAGUCAGGCAACGAGCGAGACCCACGCCCACAGUUGCCAGCGUACUCUCCGGAGUGACGGGUACACUGUGGGACCGCCGCUGCUAAAGCGGAGGAAGGAAUGGGCAACGGUAGGUCAGUAUGCCCCGAAUAUCCCGGGCUACACGCGAGCUACAAUGGUUGGUACAAUGGGUAUCUACCCCGAAAGGGGACGGGAAUCUCCUAAAACCAAUCUUAGUUCGGAUUGAGGGCUGCAACUCGCCCUCAUGAAGCUGGAAUCCGUAGUAAUCGCGUUUCAACAGAACGCGGUGAAUACGUCCCUGCUCCUU
rnacentral:rRNA from 1 species